rnacentral:lncRNA from 1 species
UGCAUUUUACGCACCAGACCAGCAAACUACCAUCAAAGUACAACCAGAAGCAUUAUUAUAAUAGCUGAAGAAGGUAGUAUUUCUUUUAUUCAAUACAGUAUAUUCAGUAUGUAAAGAAAAGCAGUGAAAACAGACAUAGCUACACCAGUUAAGCACAGACAGACAUCUCUUAACUCUAAUUUCUAUAAGCACACAGUACGAUUUCCCAACCAUCACAGCUUCAGUUUUUCAAUAAUCAACAAUCAAUGAAAGAACAUAAAUUUACAAUAAGAAAGGAAGAAAAAAUAGAAUCUUGAGCAUUGAUCAGGAGGCGGGCUGCCUCGCCGGAGUUGAAUCAUCGAUUCCUGAGAUAAGGAAAUAGUUAGGGAUUUGCGAAACAAGCUAAGAAAAGAAAGAAAGUAAGAGAAAUAGAAACAGAGGAGGAAGAAGAGGAAAACGGCAGGAGCAGCCGCGAGCCACCACGGCGGGGCGCGACUGGCAGCGGCAACCGCCAGCGCUGCCCACGCCACGGCGGUCUGCGGUGGUCGCCAGUAGCAGAGAGAGAGAGAAUUUGAGCGAGGGAGAGGGAAAGAGACUGAGACACGAAGAGAGAGAGAGAGAGAUGGACAGAAGAGAAAGCAGAGCGACAUCGAGGGAGAGAGAGGAGAGCGGGGCGGCGCCGACCGCCGGCGCUGCAUGCGCUGCUGCGGCCGCCGCAAGCAAGAGGGCAGAGGGGGAGAUCGAGAGGGAGAGCAGAGAGAGGGUAGAGAGAGAGAAAGAAAGAGAUAGGGGGUUUACCUGAGUCGGAAGUGGCGAUGGUGCGACGGAGACGGCGGCGGCAGUGGCGGAACUCACCGGAGAACGUGAAUUGAAAAUAGAAAUCCCUAGAUCUAUUUCAAUUUGGGGAUUUUAGAUUCAGGAGAAGAGGUAGGGAACGAAAGGAAGGAGGGGGAAGAAGGGGUGCCAGCUUCGCCGCGCCGCAGGCGACGAGAACCGGCGACGUCCGCCGGCUGUGAGAGAGUGUGAGAGACGCAGAGAGAGGGAAUGAAAGGAGAGAGAGAGAGAGCGUGUGAAGAAGAAAAGAAAAAUGAGAGAGAGAAAGUGUUUUCC